CGGCCUGGGGAUCGGCAGCGCGCAGCGCGCUGAGCACCGCAGCCCGAGGGCAGGCAGCGGCGGCCCGGCGCACGGGCUGAGCGAUGCCUGGGGCAGGGGCGCGCCUGCCCGCCGCUGCCUGAGCGCCCCCGCGCGCCCCUUCCUCCUCCGGGGGGCCGGCACCGGACCGAGCCGAGAGCCAGAGAAGGGGGCGUGAGCCAGGGGCCCCGAGCUGCGGCUUCUGAGCGGCUGCGGCCGUUUCGAGCCCCCCAAGUAGGCUGAGUUGAGGGAUUCCCCCUCCCCAUCCAUCAUAAUCUCCAAAUCAGGCGUUUGGGCAUUUUCAAAUCAUUAAUAUUUAUUAUUAUUUUUGUGUGCGGCAGGGGACAAUUUGAAGGCUUUUUUUUUUUUUUUCCGGGGGGUACUAAGCUUCCGCGCUCCCGACCGCCUACCGGUCUCCUCCCCCCACCGAGACCCCCUCGACUCCAGCCCCGUCCCCCCUCCUCAGAUGGGUUCAUUGUGAGCUCCGCACCGGGCUGCGUGGCCGGACGCCUGCAAACUUUGCACAAAAAUCCGGCAAGGGGCGGAGGAGGAGAAGGAGGAGGAGGGUGAGGGUGGCGGUGGGGUGGGGGAGGGAGGGAGGGGGCCGCAGGGGCCGGGGGCCGGCGGGGGGUGGGGAGGAGGAGGGGGGCGGCUUUUUUUUUUUUUUUUUUUUUUUUGCAUAACUCGGCUCGACCGAGUGGCCUCCGGACUCCCCGCGCCGCUGGGACCGCCGCUGGGACCGAGAGCCCCGGCUGCCGCAUUGCAACAGGCAGGGCCCCGGCGCGCCCCCCGGGCCUCCCCCCGCCCCGGAGCGGCCUCGGCCGUCCCGGGCCGCCCCCCCCAGGGAGGCCGCCCCGGACCUGCAAUCCGCUCCCCACAGCUGCCGACCCGGCUGCAAAAAAAAAAGUUUCCGAGAGGCAGGAGGAGGAGAAGGGGGAGAAGGGCAGCCCGGAGCGGCGGGGGGCGGCGGGGGGAGCCGGCCGCGGAGGGCGACGGAGCGCCGGGAGCCCCGGACAUGUCCAGGCGGAAGCAGGCGAAGCCGCGCUCGGUGAAAGUUGAAGAGGGGGAGGCCUCGGACUUCUCGCUGGCCUGGGAUUCCUCCGUGACAGCAUCAGGCCCCGGAAUGCAACUCCAGCUGUCUGCUGUUUAUGCGUGUGGUGGCUUCAUAAGCAUCUUUAUGCAGAAACAGCUUGGUUCCACCUCCAUUGGACUCCUCUGUACUGGUGCUCCUGGUGCCCCCUGUACAGUUGGACUCUCUGGGCAGGCCCUGGACGAGCCUAGAAUUCACUGUCCGGCCGUUUCUGAUUCUGCGGAGGGAGGUGGUCUCCUGUCCAGGUCUGAUUGAGGGAAGAGAUGGGGAGAUGGUCCCAGGGCUUGCUGGUCCCCAGGGCUGACUCUCACCUGGCACCAUUCCUGGCCUUCACGCCUCUCUGGCCCCCCCCUGCAUCCUGGCCUUGCACUUUCGCCCACACCCUCCUCUGCCCACCUGCUCUUGCUCCAGACUCCCCCGGGGCUCCUUGAAGCCCCGCAGGGCUCCUGGGUCCCCCGUAUCUGUGUGCACCUUGUGAGCCAGGAGAGCACCGUCUGUGUCCAUCACGAUCGAGCUUGUUGCCGUGUGAGGAAUCAGCCUCAGGCGGGACAAGUGACGUGGUCAGGGUCAACUUGUGGGGUGAGGUGGGGGGUCCCAGCGCUAAGCCUGGAGCUGGGACCCUGACGGAUGCUGGUCCAGGCUUCCGGCACGUACCGUGUCUACCUCCCUUGGGUGUUCAUUUCUUCGCGAGACACACAUUCACUUAGCCCACGGUGAUGAAGCCUCUUGUUUGUGCCAGGCCUUGUGUGGCUUCGAGGACACCAAGAUGGAAGACCAGGGAGCAUCGUUUAUGUGGCAGCAAAUACAUGUCUGUUAAGCUACCCAGUAGCUCUCGAUUGAUCUUUGGGAGAUGAAGGAAGGAAGGAGAUUACCAAUGGGCUAUCCCACGCCUUUCACCCUCUGCUCUUGUCUUCUCUGUCCUGGGUCUGUGGGGGCUUCUCCCAGCCUCCUGCCUCCGCCGGGCAGGUGCUCAGCCUGGGGUCCCAGAUGCUGGCCCCGUGGUGGUCCCUGAUUGGUUUUCAGGGUGCCCUGGGCCCCCGGAUGGCGGGGUGAUCCCCAGGUCCCUCUCAGGAAGGAGAAGAAGCAGGCUUCUCGCGUGCUGGCUGGGGGCUGGGGCCAGAGGGGAGAGCCCCCCUCUGGUGUUCUUGGCCCGAGCCGCUCUCGCUGGCCCUGGGGAUUGGUGA
rnacentral:lncRNA from 1 species